rnacentral:sRNA from 1 species
AAGAAGCUACUUUGUGCGUAUUGUUAAUUAAGUUUUAACCUUUAAGCUGUAAUAGGGAGUUUUAUAUCGAAGCCGGAAUGUCGUGCCUCCAGUGUAGAGGACGACAGGAACGCUUCUGCAAACACCCACUUUGAGGAG